rnacentral:ribozyme from 1 species
UUCGCAAUUCUCGGAAUGAUCCUAUUCCAAGAAAACGACCCAUGGCAUUUUGGCUCGCUACACAUAUCGCUGUUUAGUCUAUUUCGUAUGGCAACAUUGGAAGAUUGGACGGAUGUCAUGUAUAUCAAUAUGUACGGUUGUGACAAGUACGGCUAUACGGGGAUCGAAAACUUAU